UACGAAGGGGGCGAGCGUUGUUCGGAAUUACUGGGCGUAAAGGGCGCGUAGGCGGCGACCCAAGUCAGAUGUGAAAGUCCUGGGCUUAACCUGGGGACUGCAUUUGAUACUGGGUUGCUUGAAUGCAGGAGAGGAUAGCGGAAUUCCCAGUGUAGAGGCGAAAUUCGUAGAUAUUGGGAAGAACACCGGUGGCGAAGGCGGCUAUCUGGACUGUGAUUGACACUGAGGCGCGAAAGCGUGGGGAGCAAACAGG
rnacentral:rRNA from 1 species